AUUCUCCUUUGCCUUUCAUUCAACGCCUCUCAGCUACCUCUGCUCCCUUUUCUCGUGUUUCCUUUGCAGAUCUAUGCUGCAUGUCUUCUCUGCCACGCUUUUCGUUCUCGGAUUCAGCUAGAUUGCUUCGAGAGCUACACGUCAAUGGCGGUUUCUAGAGGUUAAGCCAAUAGACCCUGCAAAAACUCUGGUUUGACCUGUUUUGCUUUUCGAGAAUUUACUUCUGAGAGAUCUGUUCUAGGUCUGGAUUCGAAUUCAUCUCCAACUGAUGUUGAUGAUUGGGUUGCUAAUGCUUGAAUUUGAAACCGCUUCUCUAUUUGAUUUGAUUUCUUAUCGGCUUUUUUUGGUUUAAUUCUUUUUCCAAAUCAAUUCGUUAUUGCUGGACCUGCUUCUGUUUUGCUUCUAAGGUUUGUAUCUCCGCUUAUUCACUUCAGCCCUGGAGAGUGCUUGUGCUUUGUGAUUGUGAUCAUUGCAGGCAUGGUGUUGAAGCAGCCUUUUCUAUCCGCUGUCUCGGCGUUUGAUUUAUCGGCAAGUCUUGCGGAUCCACACGUGGCUCAAUCCCAGUGCAACAACAGAUUUGUUUUUUUGACAAUCACAAUUUUGGCAGUGUGAUGUAAUUCUAUACCCAAGCAAAGAGGUUGAUGAUGUAAGUGGAUGUAUAAGAUAAUAUCGGGACAAAAGGCCCGAGGUUGAUGGGGGCUGAGUCCUGAUUUAUCUUUGUCGUCCGGCCUUUGCCAUGACAGGUGCGCUUGCAUGGCGGGUCACAAAAAAAAACAUAAUAAAAUACGUACGUUUUUUUUGGUGCGAGGGGAGCGAUCGCACGGGAGUUUGCCCGGGGUCCCCCCACCUGUGUGUGCUGCUUUUUCUGUGUUCAUUUCUAUUAUAGCUCUCGACGCCUAUGCUUUCUUACCGGAUGAAAGAAAGGGGUAGCUGAGGAACAUGAGCAACCAUUGCAAUUGAUGCACUCGCACUCACCUGGAUUUUAAGACUCUCAAGACACAGAUUGCCGGGGAUAGAAGUUCUCAAAAUGGUUAGACUAGGCCUCAAGAUGCAAUAGUCAUUUAUCUCUUGGAAAUUCUCUGACGUGGUAAUUCUAUUCAUUUACUUCUGGAGGAUAUGAUUGAGGAGUCUUAAUGGUAUAAUUCUCGGUAUAUUUGACAAACAGAAAAUGAAAAUAAAUAUUAAUUUUUGUUAUUGGGAAUCUUAUCGUUGGCAGUUUACUACAUAUAUAUGUGGAGUUCAUCAAAUCGACUGGUCCUUGUGUUUUAAAGGUAAAAGGUAUAUGCAAAAGGUCACUGCUAUGGUUCCCCCAAGUAAUACAGAACAAAAAUAGGGUAGCGUUAUGUUAUACGCAAUGAUUUUUUGAUGCCCAAUGCCUUUAAGUAGAGUAAAGGAUUCUCUAAAUUUUUAUUUUCAACAGAUCUAAGAUUCUAAAUGCAGGGCAUUUCAGCAGUAUCAUUCAUAUCUAUUUCUUUCACAACGAAGUCAUAGUUUCUCAAUGAUAUCCCAAUAUUUGAUUAUUUAUAAAGACCUCCUAUGCAGCAAUUCAAGUAAAACUUUCAGGAAAAAAAAAGUACAAUUUUUAGGGAACAAAGAGGGUAAUGCCAAAUACAUUUUUAUCCCGCAAUACUUAGGUGAAUAUGUUGGCUAAUAAUUUAAAAUUAUAAAAUUAAAUGUAGUAUCACCGUGAGAUGUAAUAAAAACAAAAUAUUGAAAUGGAGGGAAUUUUAUUACACUUGUAUAUCAUUACAUCUUGAAUCAAAUAUAGAUUGCUUGAUUGCAUCUAUUGUAUGAGCAAGUUGCUAUGUUGUGAAGAUAACUUCAUGUGUACUGGGUGGCCUUCUGUUGCAUUUCUGCUACCCUUUGAGAUCAUCAAUUGUAUUCCUGUAAGCAAAGCUUUUUGGCAAUUAGAUGUGCUUAUGGCGAGGCCAAGCUUGGUAUACUGACUCUAGUAGGAGAUUUGACAAGUUGUUAAGCAGCGUGAGGCUAUUGCCACCAGCAGGACUUGAAGGCUUGAUUCGUAAGGAAGUUUUGUUUCUUUGGUGUUUUUCAGUUGCAGCAGAUUCUUCCAAGGUAGAGCUGUGUAUGCUAUGCAAUGUCUGAAGUGAUGAUAUUGAGUAUGAUCUAAAUCCUUGCAUUCCAACCUUGUUGAUUUCCUAGUUUUCAAUUUAAAUAUGUUAUGCUAUAUAGCCAUUAUACCCCGUGUGACUACCAUUGUCAAUUUGCUUUACACAAAGUCUCUUUCUAUUAUCUUCA